UUUGGCCAAGACUUAACUACCACCAUUGGAUGGCAGCCUAAAUUGCGACCCCUGAGGAAGUGAAUUCAUCCUUGACAAUAGCCUCCAUAAAAUCCAUCUUACAAGUGAUAAUUUUGCACAGAUGUUUUUAAAUGAAAUGUUGAAUAAAUGGUUCCUCUUGUUUCUAGCAAGAAUGCGAGUGAGAGAGCGAGCAAGCAAGAGAAAUGACUAGUGACCAGUUGAGAAAGUCCUGUCUUCCACUGAGCCAUUUCACUCCUGCCCAUCUACUCUCAACAGCUCAAGAGCCGCUGAACCCUCGGAACUCUGUGAGGAUCAGAGGAGACAACAUGUGUGAAAACACCUUACCAAUACAAAGCUGUGCAGAUGUAAAGGAUGGUUAUUCCAGAAUGGAGGUUCUUAACUUGAGAAGGGAAGAGAGAGCUAUUAUUUAUUGAUCUCCUCAUACCUCAAAUGAUGCCAAAAAGAAGAGUGAAGGUAAGCAAUAGUCAUUAGCUCCUUUCUUUACAUGUAACCAAGAUGUGAACCAAGACAGUCUGGAUCAGUUGAACAAUUUAUCCCUAUGAGUCAAUCAAAAUCGAAUAUCACUGACGCCAUGCUCUGGAGUGGAAAAUAUGGACUUUUAGUAUCAUAGAUACUAACCAUCAGUUAGCUACUGGUUAUUUGGAAAUUGUUGGUGUCUGUUCUUUGUCCAGACUUUGCUGCCUAUUUUGCAAUGCAUAGUUCAUGCUUCUAGUUCUACCAUUCACUCCAAUUUAUGGGUCAUGUAUAAUAACAUUCAGCCGAUCCUUGGUUUCCAACAUGCUCAGGUUAACCAUAAAGAUCCCAACUUCUGUUUCAUGUUGGCUCUUGGUGUGUUUACCCAAAACACGUAGAGUUCUAUUGGAAAGAAUGUAAAGCAAAGUGUAAAAUCAUGAGAGGAGUUCAUUGCAAUAUGCUGGACUAACUUUUGGCCAAAUUUAUGUCUUGGGGGUUGAUUUGGAAACAGUGCUUUCAAUUCCCUUUUACUGUAU
rnacentral:lncRNA from 10 species